rnacentral:hammerhead_ribozyme from 1 species
AUCCGGAUGACGAGUCCAAAAUAGGAGGAAAUGCGCAUCAUCCUGGAU